UAGGCGGGUGAUUCGUCUGGGCUGUUAAAGGGGCCGCUGCCCUGUGGACCGGAGGAAGGGGCGGCGGCUGGAGGCAGCAGGGUGUGGGAUGUUACAUGAAAGAAUCCCAGGUGUAGAUGGACAAAACACAAUACCUUUAUUUUUAUGUGGUGCUGAGGAUCGAACCCGGGUCCCGCCCGUGCUACGUGAGCACUCUACUGCUGAGCCACAGUUCCAGCCUGAGAUCCACGGUUAUUAAAUAUAACUGUCUCAAAGUUCUGUCGUUCCAAGGCCCAAAGCAACAGGGUCGAUCAUCCAAAAUGGUGAACCAAAAGGAACCUUUUCUCUGAAGGUUGAUUCGUCUCAGAUACUCGGCAUCUGUUCCAUUCAGAAGACAAGGAUGAUCAUUCAGAAGAAGGAGUGGGGUGUGGUGGUGCAUGCCUGCAAUCCCAGUGGUUUGGGAGCCUGAGGCAAGAGGAUCCCAAGUUCAAAGACAGCCUCAGCAACUUAGCAGAGACCCUGUUUUAAAAUAAAGAAAGGACUGAAGAUGGCUCCUUGGUAAAGAACCCCUGGAUUCCAUCCCUAGUCCAAAGAGGAGGAGGAGAAGGAGGGCAAACAGCACUGGGAAAACAACUCACCCCUGGCAGAUCAGAGACCCACACCUCCUUCCCAGGAGGCUCUUCCUCAACACCUCACCUGAGAGGGCAGCUUGGUUUUCACAGGUGAACUCAAGAAGCAUGCGCUGGAGACACCAUAAAUAUCCCACUGUGCCAAGGCAGAGGAGGAAGGGGGGGGCAGGUGGAGGACUCCACCCCCACCUCCAACCCCCCAGCAACCGCCUCUCCUGCUGUGCCUCUGCGAUCCACCACAGCAGGAAAUGGUUUGGGUUUUUCUGUUAUGAAUGCAAUAGAAGCUCAUUUUAGAAUAUUAAAAGAUAAAAAAUAUAGAAACACAGAAGGAAGAAAACACCCAUUUUCUUCCAGCCUUCUAACAAUUAUCAAAACAUGAUGUUUCCCUUUGUUCUUUUACAUAACUGUUUUUUUGAACCAUAUACAAUCUUGUAUUCUCUCUAUAAAACUUAACAUUAUUGCAUAUGAACAGUCAUAUCGCAUGAGGCAAAGAAGGGUUUGACUUGGAGUCAGAAGAGCUGAUCAUUAAUUCCAUCUCUGCCACUUGCUGUAUGUCUCACCUUUCCUGAGUCUCAGGUUUACCUAUAAUGAAGAGGAGAGAAACAUCCAUUCUCGGCCACUAGUUUUCUCUGUGGUCCUCUAGACAAUAAGCUCCGUGACUGAUCCUCUGUUAAAUCCAUACAGUCUGGCUCAGUGGAUUAGAGACGGUCAUUCUCUCCAUCCACAGGUACAACUUAUUUUUCCAUUCUCUGGAAUCUUGGACUGGGCUUGUGUGAUAGCCAGUCUCCAAAAUGGUCUCCCAUUGAUCCUCACUUAUUGGUCAUUCCUGCCCUGUUUCAUAGUCUCCUCUCACCACGGACCAAGGUUGGUUUGUGUGACAAACAGAGAAUGGCAGAGGAGACAGUGUAUGAUGUUUCAGGCUAGCUCAUACAGGGCAUUCAGGCUUCUUUGUCUCACAUCACUCCAUCCGGGAAAAGCAGCCGCCAUGUUGUGAAGACACUCCAGCAAACUGUGGAGAGGUUUAUGUGCAGAAGAGCUGAGGCCUCCUGCCUAUAGCCUGCACCAAUUAGCCAACUGUAUGAGUGAGCCAUCUUGGAAAUGGGUUCUGUGGUCCUGUAAGUCAAGCCUUCAGAUGGGUGCAGCUCUGGCUGACAUUUUAACUGCAUCUUCUGAGAGUCCCCACACCAGAAAUGGUCAGAAAACCUGUUCUGUACUCCCCCAUGCACAGAAAUGGGAGAGGUAAAUGAUUAUUGUCAACUUAAACCACUAACUCUUGGGAUUAUUUGUUAUGCAACAUACUUAAUGAAUACACCCUAUGAUUGGCUUUGACCAAUAAAAUGAAGUAGAAAUGAUAUUCUGGGACUUCCAAGCCCAAGCCUCAAGAGGACUGAAGCUUUUGCUUCCUGGCUCUUACAGCCUAGCCACCAUGCUGUUAAAAGCUCAAGCCAUCCUGCCAAGUGUGGCAGCACAUACCUGUAAUCCUAGUGACUCUGGAGGCUGAGACAGGAGGAUCACUAGUUCGAAGCCAGCCUCAGCAACUGUGAGGCACUAAGUAACUCAGUGAGACCCCGUCUCAGAAUAUAAUACAAAAUAGGGCUGGGGAUGUGACUCAGUGGCCAAGUGCCUCUUAGUUCAAUCCCCUGUACCCCCCCCACAAAAAACUAUGUACUAUUCUGCAUAAUUAAUCUCCUUCAAUGCUAGGCUUAAUUCACAAUUAUACCAUGAAUAUUAAUCCAUACUUAAUAUAUUGCAGAGCUUUAUUGAGUUAACAAAUAUUUAAGAUGUUUUCUUGUCUAUGGAAAGUACAUUAUAUUAACACUUCUCUUUUGGUUUAAAUUGAACAAGGAAUAGUGAACUAGAGUAAAGGUGUUCUUUGGGGACUUUUUCACUUACAUUAUUCUAAAUUAUUAAAAUUAUUAAAUACCUA